UCACGGCUACCAGCCGGCAAUACGGCUAUCAGCCGCAUGUCUGUAGUAUACUAUAGUAUAUUACAGACACGCCCGGCUGAUAGCCGUAUUGCCGGCUGGUAGCCGCGAUGUA
rnacentral:miRNA from 1 species